GUUUGAGUUAUUGUCAUCUAAAGUGACCAGGACUCAAGCGCCUAAUUUGCAUAUUCAUAAAAUCACUUCUAUCUUGAAAACUAAGACAGAUAUCGACUAACUUUGUAUUAUCAACUUAUAGGAAGUCGGAUAUGGUCUUUCAUUUGAUACCAGCUUUUUUUUAUAUACCUUGG